rnacentral:rRNA from 1 species
ACGGAGGGUGCGAGCGUUAAUCGGAAUCACUGGGCGUAAAGCGCACGUAGGCGGAGUCGUAAGUCGGAUGUGAAAUCCCUCGGCUUAACCGGGGAACUGCAUUCGAUACUGCUAUUCUUGAGUGCGGGAGAGGGUGACGGAAUUUCUGGUGUAGGGGUGAAAUCCGUAGAUAUCAGGAGGAACACCGGUGGCGAAGGCGGCCUACUGGCCCGAAACUGACGCUGAGGUGCGAAAGCGUGGGGAUCAAACAG